UACGAAGGGGGCUAGCGUUGCUCGGAAUCCCUGGGCGUAAAGCGCACGUAGGCGGAUUGUUAAGUCAGGGGUGAAAUCCUGGAGCUCAACUCCAGAACUGCCUUUGAUACUGGCGAUCUCGAGUCCGGGAGAGGUGAGUGGAACUGCGAGUGUAGAGGUGAAAUUCGUAGAUAUUCGCAAGAACACCAGUGGCGAAGGCGGCUCACUGGCCCGGUACUGACGCUGAGGUGCGAAAGCGUGGGGAGCAAACAGG
rnacentral:rRNA from 1 species